AUUGAACGCUGGCGGCGUGCUUAACACAUGCAAGUCGAGCGGAGCGGCGAACGGGUGAGUAACGCGUGAGUAACUGCCCCCCUCUCUGGGAUAACAGUUGGAAACGGCUGCUAAGACCGGAUAGUGGGGGAUGACUCGCGUCCGAUCCGCUUGUUGGUGGGGUAGUGGCCUACCAAUGCUAAGACGGGGAGCCGGCCGGCGAGGGCGACCGGCCGCAUUGGGCUGACAUACGGGCCAAGCUCCUACGGGGGGCAGCAGUCGGGAAUAUUACACCAUGGGGGACUCCCUGAUGCAGCAACGCCGCGUGCGGGAUGACUGCCUUCCGGUUGUAAACCGCUUUCGGCCAUGACUCGGUAGUGGCAGAAGAAGCACCGGCUAACUACGUGCCAGCAGCCGCGGUAAUAC
rnacentral:rRNA from 1 species